rnacentral:rRNA from 1 species
AAGCUUGCUUCUCUGAUGUUAGCGGCGGACGGGUGAGUAACACGUGGAUAACCUACCUAUAAGACUGGGAUAACUUCGGGAAACCGGAGCUAAUACCGGAUAAUAUUUUGAACCGCAUGGUUCAAAAGUGAAAGACGGUCUUGCUGUCACUUAUAGAUGGAUCUGCGCUGCAUUAGCUAGUUGGUAAGGUAACGGCUUACCAAGGCAACGAUGCAUAGCCGACCUGAGAGGGUGAUCGGCCACACUGGAACUGAGACACGGUCCAGACUCCUACGGGAGGCAGCAGUAGGGAAUCUUCCGCAAUGGGCGAAAGCCUGACGGAGCAACGCCGCGUGAGUGAUGAGGGUCUUCGGAUCGUAAAACUCUGUUAUUAGGGAAGAACAUAUGUGUAAGUAACUGUGCACAUCUUGACGGUACCUAAUCAGAAAGCCACGGCUAACUACGUGCCAGCAGCCGCGGUAAUACGUAGGUGGCAAGCGUUAUCCGGAAUUAUUGGGCGUAAAGCGCGCGUAGGCGGUUUUUUAAGUCUGAUGUGAAAGCCCACGGCUCAACCGUGGAGGGUCAUUGGAAACUGGAAAACUUGAGUGCAGAAGAGGAAAGUGGAAUUCCAUGUGUAGCGGUGAAAUGCGCAGAGAUAUGGAGGAACACCAGUGGCGAAGGCGACUUUCUNGGUCUGUAACUGACGCUGAUGCGCGAAAGCGUGGGGAUCAAACAGGAUUA